rnacentral:rRNA from 1 species
AUUGAACGCUGGCGGCAUGCCUAACACAUGCAAGUCGAACGGUAACAGGCCCUUCGGGGUGCUGACGAGUGGCGGAUGGGUGAGUAAUACUUAGGAAUCUACCCUGUAGUGGGGACGAACCCGGGAAACGUCGGCGUAAUACCGCAUACGCUCUACGGAGGAAAGACGGGGCCGGCAAGGCCUCGCGCUAUUGGAUGAGCCUAAGCCCGAUUAGCUAGUUGGUGGGGUAAUAGCCUACCAAGGCAAUGAUCGGUAGCUGGUCUGAGAGGACGACCAGCCACACUGGGACUGAGACACGGCCCAGACUCCUACGGGAGGCAGCAGUGGGGAAUAUUGGACAAUGGG